rnacentral:sRNA from 1 species
CGUCGAUGCGCAUGGUGACGUCCCAGCCCUGCUCGC